rnacentral:rRNA from 1 species
UACGUAGGGUGCAAGCGUUGUCCGGAAUUAUUGGGCGUAAAGAGCUCGUAGGCGGUCUGUUACGUCGGCUGUGAAAACCUAGGGCUCAACCCUGGGCCUGCAGCCGAUACGGGCAGACUAGAAUUCGGUAGGGGAGACUGGAAUUCCUGGUGUAGCGGUGAAAUGCGCAGAUAUCAGGAAGAACACCUAUGGCGAAGGCAGCUCUCUGGGACGGUACUGACGCUGAGACGCGAAAGCGUGGGGAGCGAACAGG